AUGUUGAGCUCUUCCGCGCCUGUCGGCGAGACACCGCCGCGCACAGCAUCAACCAUUGUUGCGGAAGGUGUGUCCGGGUCUCAUGUGCUCACAGUUCAGGGAUACUCUUACACCCUUGGAAUCGGCGUCUACAGGGCUAUUCUGGCCGGCGUCUUACGCGUUGGAGGACAUAUCUGGAGCAUCGCUUACUACCCUGAUGGUUUCGACAGAGAUUCUACCGACUGUAUAUCUUUUUCUCCAUUUCUUCACCGCGCCGAUGUUGUCGGCCAUAGUUAUGAUACCAAUGGUGAUGAUAAUGAUGAUGUUGAUGCUAAGCAAGCUAUCAAGAUGAGAUGCAGGUUUAGCCUGCUGGACCAGGUGGGCGAACCGGUGCCAAAUCACGACACCGUACAUGACGUCCAUAUGCUGUGCGCGCGGGCAGGGAAUCACGUCUCACAGAUUCAUCACAAGGGCCGAUUUGGAAAACUCGGAGUAUCUUAA
rnacentral:rRNA from 1 species